GCUCCGCCUCCGGAAGGCGGGCGGGGAGGGUAGUUGCUGGGGGUCCCUAGGCCGGGCCCCAGGACAUCUAGGACAUGCCGGGGGCUGUUUGCUACGGCUUCAUCCCGGAGCUCCUGCUCGGGGUUGCCGGCUGCCUCUGCUGGCGUCCCUCUUCCCUUCCUUUGCCCUAGAGGCAGGGGAUGCUGCGGAAUCAGACUGGGUGCACCAAGGCGGAGGGCCAUGCCGGGCUUCGCCCUUCCUGGGUGUCCCGGAGUCCGUUCCGGAGAAACCCUGGCAUUGCCAGAACUGGGUCCCCGCACUCACUCCUCCAUAAUUCGCGGCGGAUCAGCGGGAGGAGGGCAGAGGGCGGGGGCGAGGCAGCUUCCUGGCGGGUGUGGCGCAAAGUGUGCGGGGUGUGGCGCAAAGUGCGCGGACCCGGGUCCUGGACCGAAGAUUUAGCCCAGGGUUUCGUGUGUGUUGCUCCCUGUUGCUUUCUACGGGGUCUGCGCUGGCCUCCUCCUCGGGCGACUGGGCCCUGAGGCAACAGCGCCUUCUCGAGCCCCGAGGAUUGACCGCCCCGAGCCUGCUUGGAGCAGGGCCUCUCUCCAGCGCGGUGUGAUGAAACACCAGCUGCUGUGAAGAUAUACCCUUAGAAACGAACCGUCUGUUAAUAUGGAAAAAAACCAUUCUUCCAGGAGAGGCUCCUCCAAGCAAACUUCCCCUUACAUCUCUUACCAGAACUGGGUCACAUGCUCCCAUCUAAAACAACCACUGGCCAUUAGAAAUGGUGUUACCAUGCCUGUCUUGGACCAAUCACAUUUGAUCCUCUGAGGAUAGAGACAUGUUGCCACCUGAACAACUGUGGGGUGCUGUACUCCUGGCAAGCAGGGAGAAUGGCUGUGGCUAGGCAACUGACAGCAUCUACCACAAAUAUGUUACUCAGAAGAAGAAUCGAGGAUGGCCAUAAUUUUUAUUUAAAGAUUUCUAUUUUACAGAGGCAUAUCUGAUUAAGGGACAUUUAAACUUCCCUGUUAAACUUAUCAAGACAAAAAGACAAGGCAUCUUGCCACAUUUCUUAAAUAUUCUCUGCAGUCUCUCUUGACCUUUUCCCAGCUGUGCUGUAAACAUAAAGAUAAUAACAUAUCUGAAUAACAUUUUAUGGUGCACAGAUAAUUUUCACAUACAUUAUCCAUUUGACCCUCACCAUAACUGUGUGGGGUAGGUAAGGUACGAUUGUACUUUUCAUUAAUUUUUUUUUUUUUGAGACACAGUCUCGUUCUGUCACCCAGGCUAGAGUGCAGUGGUGCGAUCUGGGCUCACUGCAACCUCCACCUCCCAGGUUCAAGUGAUUCUCCUGCCUCAGCCUCCAAGUAGCUGGGAUUACAGGCAAGUGCCACCAUGCCUGGCUAGUUUUUGUAAUUUUUUAGUAGAGACAGGGUUUCACCAUGUUGGCCAGGCUGGUCUAGAACUCCUGACCUCAGGUGAUCCACGUGCCUCGGCCUCCCAAAGUGCUGGGGUUACAGGCAUGAGCCACUGCUCCUGGCCACUUUUCAUUAAUUUUUAUUGGACUUAGGAUUAGAAGGAUGAGCAAAUCCUACUACUUAGUGCGUGGAAUACUGGCAUCUAUUGUUUUUGCUUGGCUCCUCUCUUGUUUUAAUAAUUAACUAAUCGAUCCAUUCUCUUUUAUUGCCAUCUCCCACUCACACUUUUUCCUCCACAUAGGCAAUCAUUCUAAAUAUGUCCAAUGUUUAUCUUAUUUGUAUGCGUAUUUAUAAAGUGAAUAUUUUGUUUAGUGUGUAUGCAGUUUCGUUUGCAUAAAUUGUAAUAUUCUGUGAAUCUCAUUCUGUUUUGUACUUUUUUCAUUCUGCUCUGUUUUUAGAAGUGAUCCAUGUUGCUAUGUGUAUCUACUCCAUUGCCUUUAAAUGCUGCAUAAUACUCCACGGUGUUUGUCGAUCAUGUUUUACUCAUCUUUGCCCCCUAGUGGAAACCAUGAUGGCCUCCAACUCUGCACACAAAUAGUUUCAAACAAGAACCGCUGGUGAAAUGUGACUGCUGAUGGACCUGGGUGGGAAUUUCUCUGGGAUGCCGACUAAAAAGCAUGGUGGCUGGGUCAUAAAAUGCACACUUAAUUUGAAUAAGUGCCACCCAGUGGCUCUCCACAAAGCCUGCACUAGUCCAUUCUACUAGAAAUUAUUCACAUUUAACUGGAAACUGGGUCUUGGAGAUGUUAAGUAACUUGCUCAAGCUCACAUAAGGAGUAAAAGUGAAUUAGGACAUCCAGGACCCAAAUCCAGGCCUUGUAACUUCAGGUCAAUUUUAUUUUCCAGGGCACCACCCUCUAAGUCUCUGGAUCAUAAUAUGGAGCACUAAUAAAAAGAUUUCUUGAGGCUUUUGUUAUUUACAUAAUGAAUUUCAGAAAUGGCUUACUGGUGCUACUGGCAAGUUGCAGGCAGAAGAAAGAAUGAAAGCGAAUGGGCAUCUCAUGUUCUAUUCUCUGAUUCAACCUGUUUUGGGUCCCUUUUGACUGCUUUACCACAGUUGCUAUUACAUUAUUUUGGGAAGUAUUUAAAAAAGAAGAGAAAGUGCUGGAUAUCUGAACUCCUUUCCUCCAGUCUGCCAUGGGCCAAAAUGUAGUACCACCAUGCCUGACUAGAAAGUAAAAGAGGAAUCAUAGAAUCAGAUAGUGUUAUAACCAGAAUGGGCCUUACAGACCAUUUAGUCUAGUCCUCCCAUUUUAUAGAUGAGAAAAUGGAGGCCCAGAGAGAGGAAGACAGUUGCCUGAGGUCACACAGCUGGAAGGAGAGCAGGAUGGGCACCCAGGCUUUCUGAAAACCAGUCUCUUUGAUGCAGGUGAACCCCCACAUUGGGGCUCAGCUCAAGAGGGUUCUUAGCUUUGCUCAGGAAGGAAUUCAAGAGUGAGCUGACAGUUAAAGAAAGCAAGUUUUUAGAGCAAUAGUGUACAGCAAAAUGGCUGCUCCACAGACAGAGCAGGGCCAUCCCAUAGGCAGAGUAGCACUUGUGCAUUGCUGGCUAGCUCUAUUUAUAGCUGCUCCUAAUUAUAUGCUAAAUAAGCGGUGGGUUAUUCACAGAUUUUCUAGAAAAGGUGUGGGGAAUUUCCAGAACUGAUGGUUCCUUCCUCUUUAAACCAUGUAAGGUAACUUCUGGGUUUUGCCAUGACAUCAACUGUCAUGGUGCUGGUGGGAAGUGUUUUACAGCAUGCAAAUGUAUUAUAAUUCCUAGUCCUAACUGCUUUUGGCUGGUUCCUUUGCUACAUCCUGUUUUGAUCAGCAGUGUCAUGAAAACAAGUCCUGUUCAUCUCCUACCUCUCCUUGCCCUUUCCACUUUUCUGCACACAGCAACUUUCACCUGCGCACCCAGGAAUCCACACUUUAAGUCUUAACAACCUGAGGUGUUGUUGAGAAAAAACUACAAACAGUGGUGCGCUGGCAAAUCUUUAACAAUCACCUGGGGUGGGGUGGGGUGUGGAUAAACAAGCCUUAUUUGUAGCAUAUGGCCAAUUUCAAGCUGCCAAAGUGCUGUCACUGAACGUGAAGUAGUGGGAGCAGGGCAGCAGAGGGCCACCAAUCAGAGGCAUUUCCACCAAACAGAUGCAAUUGGCAUAAGUAACUGCAAGGGCACGGACAACCGCAAGGUCUGCUAAAAGGAUUAGGAAGUGAUGAGUUUUGAGUGUUUAUUACUUUUGGUUUUAGUGUAACUUAUUUGUAAGCUUACAUAAUUUAAUGUCUAAUAAGGGCAAUGUUUAACAAUCACUCAUGAAAUUCCUGAAAAUUGAACUGAUACGGUUUGGCUGUGUCCAAACCAAAUCUCAUCUCAAAUUGUAAUCUGAAUUAUAAUCUCCACGUGUUGGGGAGGUAUCUGGUGGGAGGUGAUUGGAUCGGGGAGGGGGGGAUUCCCCCACGAUGUUCUCAUGAUUGUGAAUGAGUUCUCACGAGAUCUGUUGGCUUUAUAAGUGGUGGUUUCCCCUGUUCUCGCUCUUUCCUGCUGCCUUGUGAGGAAGGUACUUGCUUCUCCUUUGCCUUGUGCCGUGAUUGUAAGUUUCCUGAGGCCUCCCCAACCAUGCAGAACUGUGAGUCAAUUAAACCUCUUUUCUUUAAAAAUUACCCAGUCUUGAACAGUUCUUUAUAGCAGUGUGAAAACGGACUAAUACGUGAAUACUCAGCUCUCCUGAGCUUAUGCGAGUCAGCCCCAAGACAACAUUGGCUAUAAAGGAAUGAAGCCAGCUUCUCGGUGUAGCAACCCGCCUUCCUAGUUUAUAAACUUGUCCUGAUUCUUCUGCAUACUCUUUGGUGGAAACAUAAAAUAUGAAUAUAGUGGAAAAGAGGGGCA
rnacentral:lncRNA from 1 species